AACGUAGGACGCGAACGUUAUCCGGAGUUACUGGGCGUAAAGCGCGUGCAGGCGGGUCGAUAAGUCGGUUAUGAAAGCUCCCGGCUAAACUGGGAGAGGAUGACCGGGACUGUCGGUCUAGGGUGCGAGAGAGGGGUGCGGAAUUCCGGGUGUAGUGGUGAAAUGCGUAGAUAUCCGGAGGAACACCAGUGGCGAAGGCGGCGCCCUGGCUCGCAACUGACGCUGAGACGCGAAAGCGUGGGGAGCGAACGGGAUUAGAUACCCUCGUAGUCC
rnacentral:rRNA from 1 species